GACGAACGCUGGCGGCGCGCCUAACACAUGCAAGUCGAACGAGCGAGAGAGAGCUUGCUUUCUUGAGCGAGUGGCGAACGGGUGAGUAACGCGUGAGGAACCUGCCUCAAAGAGGGGGACAACAGUUGGAAACGACUGCUAAUACCGCAUAAGCCCACGACCCGGCAUCGGGUUGAGGGAAAAGGGGCAAUCCGCUUUGAGAUGGCCUCGCGUCCGAUUAGCUAGUUGGUGAGGUAACGGCCCACCAAGGCGACGAUCGGUAGCCGGACUGAGAGGUUGAACGGCCACAUUGGGACUGAGACACGGCCCAGACUCCUACGGGAGGCAGCAGUGGGGAAUAUUGCACAAUGGGGGAAACCCUGAUGCAGCGACGCCGCGUGGAGGAAGAAGGUCUUCGGAUUGUAAACUCCUGUUGUUGAGGAAGAUAAUGACGGUACUCAACAAGGAAGUGACGGCUAACUACGUG
rnacentral:rRNA from 1 species